UACGUAGGGUGCAAGCGUUAAUCGGAAUUACUGGGCGUAAAGCGUGCGCAGGCGGUUGUGUAAGACAGAUGUGAAAUCCCCGGGCUCAACCUGGGAACUGCAUUUGUGACUGCACGGCUGGAGUGCGGCAGAGGGGGAUGGAAUUCCGCGUGUAGCAGUGAAAUGCGUAGAUAUGCGGAGGAACACCGAUGGCGAAGGCAACCCCCUGGGCUGACACUGACGCUCAGGCACGAAAGCGUGGGGAGCAAACAGG
rnacentral:rRNA from 1 species